CCCCUCCUCUCAUGCAUUUUUGUUCUCAUGUCCCCUUUGUGCCCAUUCUGUUCCUCUUCAUUAUAUUACAGGCACCAAACAGUUGCUGAGGAGAGGGGGACAAUCACUACCUUCAAUCUACUUACUGGCUACCUUCCUUUAAACUUAGCUCAGGCUACUGUCCCAUAGUCUUUGCUGCUGAAACACACUGUUCCUCACAUCUAGCUUGUUGUCUACCAAGAAUUCCAGACCUUUUUCAGCAGAGCUUCCCCCAGACAGUCAACCUCAGUCUGGGUACACGGCUUUGUACUUGUUCCUGGUGAAUUUCAUAAGGUUUCCGCUGGCCCUUUCUUCCAGUCCAAGUCGUACCUCUGAAAGGCAGCCUUGCCUUCAAGCUUGUCAGCUGUUUCUCCCCGUUUGUCCACAGAUGGGCCAAGAGUGCACUCCCUUGCCUCCUGCAAGUGGCUGAUAAAUGUAUGGAACAAGACAGGGCACAGGAUAUACUUUUGCAGUGCCCUCCUUAUGACCUGCUGCCUUCUGAGCCCAAUCAUCACACGGCAUUCCAGCAGGAAGAGACUACAGCUCUGUUUAGAUUUUUAAUGGGAGGGUCUCGAAGGGCUGAAACAGAAACAGACAGCACUCAUGAUGCUGGUUUUGUUGUCGCUGGGCACAAUACUUUCAUUUCAUGUGUUUUUAGAGCUUUUUUCAGAGUUGUGCACCUUAGCGUCUUACUUGCUGUUUGUUAUAGUUCAUACGCAGUUUGUCACCUCUGGGCAUUGGGUUAAAGAUAUCGCUCUUUUGCUUACAAUUAGUUUAUAGUACUUAAAAUAAUUGAUUGCAAGGAUAGCAGGCGGAGUUCAGCCGUGACAGCAGCGGUAGCUUCAUCUGCGUACCUGGGGAGCCGUCUAGUGGACGUUAUUUGUAAUUACACCGUUUGUUUUACUUCCAGAAGACGAGCUCUUGGGGAAAUAUCUUUUCACAGCUUCCCCUCCUCCUCCAGGAUUAAUGGAGAACUGACUUCAGCAACUUCCAGCAGCCCAGCAACUUCCUCAAGAUUGACUUCACUAUAAAUCAAGAAGUUUUCUGGGAACGCUCUCUUCCUUUUUGUAUUCUGCCCUCCUAACAUGGUCUCUUGGUCCUGACGAUCCUGGUCCUCCAAGUUCAACUGCCACAUUUCCUGGUCUUUCUGUGACAGCUGUGACACCUGCAGCCACUGGAACUGCUGUGCUCUUUGCAUUGGCCAUUGCUAGGAGUAUGCAUUCCAUGGCUACUAUUCAGGGGGCUUCCUUUCCUUCUCUGAUUCUCUUUCUCCAGGUGCUGGGGAACUGGAUGAGGGAGUGGCUGCCUAUUGUUUAGCCUCUGACUAAAAGCACUAAACUGGGACAAGACCAAAGAGCUGAAAUACUGCAAUACACACCAGAAAAGUGAGACAUCUUUGCCCACGUUUAACAGAGCUCCUAAAAUAUGCUACCAGAGAGAAUAAAGGACAACUUUUCUUUCUCAGCAAGGCACUGAUGCUCACAAACCUAAGGAAAAUUCUGUCCUCCUAUCUCGUUCUGGUGAAGCUUACAGCGCUGCUUGAGCACUCCUUCAGCGAGUGGUGGAAGAACUACAGGUGAUGGAGUUAAGGCCAAGUGUAUGAAUCCCAUUCUUUAUUCACUUGGGAAGGGAAGAAUAAACCUGCCUGCAAAAAGAUCACUGAGCCACUUGAAAUCCCAUGGUAUUUCUACUGCAGCGUUGAAAUAUGGAUGUGGGCAGAGCAUCUUUCUGACAAACAUCUGGCACUAAACAUAAGCUGUUCAGAGGGCACUUCUCCAGGGCUAUGCACUGUGCUUUGUGAAGGGGUUGAUAUGUUUUCACCAUAUACUUCUGUUCUACUAAGAAGAACCAGGGGUGGGACAUAAGAGCACUACAUAGAAAUGUUUACUUGUGCUACACAUCUGGAAAAGUAGCAUUUGCUUAUUAUUUAAGUUAA